rnacentral:rRNA from 1 species
UACGUAGGGACCGAGCGUUGUCCGGAUUCAUUGGGCGUAAAGGGCUCGUAGGCGGUCUGUUGCGUCAGGAGUGAAAACUCGGGGCUUAACCCCGAGCCUGCUUUCGAUACGGGCAGACUGGAGGUAUGCAGGGGAGAACGGAAUUCCCGGUGUAGUGGUGAAAUGCGUAGAGAUCGGGAGGAACACCUGUGGCGAAGGCGGCCCCCUGGGCCGCGCCUGACGCUGAGACGCGAAGGCUAGGGGAGCGAACGGG